GGUCCUUACACACCGGCGAAUGUGCGGAGCGAAGCGAAAAAGCGAGACGAAAAUUGCGAAUAUUCACCGGUCCGAAAAAUCGCUUUCGCCUAUACACACCGGCCGCGAAGCGAAUAUGCGUAUAUUUUUUGCAAAGCGAAUUAAUAAAGUCGCUUUGCGGCACGGAGGAGAGGAGAUGCGGGGUGGUCCUGUACCGCAAUGACCAGCCUCUCUCCCAUCGUUGCUCUUGGUGCCAGUGGUGGUGUGUGUCGUGUGAAUGGCUGCUGAUUGACAUGUCUAGCAUUAUGAGUGAGGGAGAAAGAGGAGGAAAAGCUGAGAGAGACACCGCAGCAGCCAGGAGAGGCGAGUGCUGAGCAGUGAUCCUUCGAGUUGUCUGGUCAUUCUGUUGGCCCUGUAGCUGCAGAUCAUCGGUAUGUCAAACAGCUGAGAGGGAGAAUCAGGCAUGAUGAGGCGGUCACCCUGUGAAGUGUGCAUGACAUCUGUCUCUAAGGAAGACAAGAGAGUGUCAUCUUGUGAGGAAACUACUUCAUUAGUAAUUAGAAAGAGUUUUGGAUGCACCUCAGCUGUCUUUCUCUGCGUUUUCAUAAUCUCAAACUUCUCCCUCUCCUCCAGCCGUAUGGGUCUGUGACGUCAUCAACAACAUGACUUUUGAUUGGCCAGAGGUCUAGCAGGUCCAGAUAUUCGCCUGCGAAUAUCCGAAAAAUUCGACACAGGAGCGAAAAAAUAAAAGCGGCUUUUCGCCCCGCGGAAAAAUCGCCGCCGGUGUGGAAGCUUGCAUUGACUUUAUGCUGUUUUAAAAAAAGGCGAAUAAUUCGCCUGGCGAAUUCUCGCCCGGUGUGUAAGGA